UUGCCCCUGUUUGUGCAAACAAAAAUUCCGAAUGGAAAUGUUAUUACUGUAUUUUUCAAAUGAAUGCUACAUGCCUUCACUUUCCUUGCAUCCGAUUGGACCCCUUCAGCAGCAUUUCUGUUUCGGCUUUUCCCAUAUGUGUUGGGACUUGGGACUUGAUUGUCAUCAUUGUAAUAACUGAGCUCAGUUGACUAUAAGGACAGUUGUAACAAUUCAUUUUGUUCUUACCGUUUUCUUCUUGUUCUUCGUGCUCAUGUCAGGAGGUCAAUUUCUAUUUACCUUUGGGUUGUAUUUGUAAAAACAUAACUCUAUCACUGUUGACGGCUAUUGAAAGGAGGACUGUAGCAGUUUCUUUGCUCUGUCCAACCCACCGCUGUUUCUUUGCUCUGUCCAACCCGCCGCUGCAGGUAGAGCUAUGCAUUGUUGCCGGCAUUUUCUUCUUGUGCUAAUGCUGCUUCUUCGUUUUGCUCUCCUUCAUAAAGAUUGGUCAGGUGAGCCAGCUGCCAACCGACGUUUUAUCCAUCAAAAUAGAGAGAACAAGGUGAACAUUUUUAUGCCCUUUGUAUUUCUUUCUUGUGCAAUUUUGCAGAUUUGAUUGGAACCUGAGGUGCAUUUUCUCCAAAAGACUUCCAGUUGAUCUCAUCUCAAGCGGACUCUCAGGCAGACAGACACCCAAAAAGACUCCAACUUUCACUAAUGGCGACUAUCCGAAUGAUUGGCAAGUAACCCUUUUCUGUAUUUGUCUUGAAUAAGGCACCGAGUCAUUUUAAUCAUGUUUAAUGAUAUAGUAUUUGUGGGGUUUUAACUUGAACAGAUAUAGCAGUCAAUCUCACUGAUGGUAUGUUCAAAGGAAUAUACAACGGCAAGAAAUACCAUGUGGCAGAUAUUGUUGCAGUACUCAGCAGGGCUUGGAGCGCCGGUGUUGAUCGAAUUAUUUUGUCUUGCGUUUUCUGUCCUAGGUUACUGGUGGAUUUCUAGAGGAAUCAAAAGAAGCUCUUGCUAUUGCUGAAACUGAUGCAAGACUUUUUUGCAUGCUUGAUGUGCACCCAACAAGAUGCAAAGUGACUGUUGAU